AUACGUAGGGCGCAAGCGUUAAUCGGAAUUACUGGGCGUAAAGCGUGCGCAGGCGGUUUUGUAAGACAGAGGUGAAAUCCCCGGGCUCAACCUGGGAACUGCCUUUGUGACUGCAAGGCUAGAGUACGGCAGAGGGGGAUGGAAUUCCGCGUGUAGCAGUGAAAUGCGUAGAUAUGCGGAGGAACACCGAUGGCGAAGGCAAUCCCCUGGGCCUGUACUGACGCUCAUGCACGAAAGCGUGGGGAGCAAACAGGAUUAGAUACCCUGGUAGUCCACGCCCUAAACGAUGUCAACUGGUUGUUGGGUCUUCAUUGACUCAGUAACGAAGCUAACGCAUGAAGUUGACCGCCUGGGGAGUACGGCCGCAAGGUUGAAACUCAAAUGAAUUGACGGGG
rnacentral:rRNA from 1 species